CCGACGGUGAGGGGUGAAAGCGUGGGUAGCAAACAGGAUUAGAUACCCUGGUAGUCCACGCCGUAAACGAUGUCGACUAGCCGUUGGGCUCCUUGAGAGCUUUGUGGCGCAGUUAACGCGAUAAGUCGACCGCCUGGGGAGUACGGCCGCAAGGUUAAAACUCAAAUGAAUUGACGGGGGCCCGCACAAGCGGUGGAGCAUGUGGUUUAAUUCGAUGCAACGCGAAGAACCUUACCUACCCUUGACAUCGUGCGAACUUUCCAGAGAUGGAUUGGUGCCUUCGGGAACGCACAGACAGGUGCUGCAUGGCUGUCGUCAGCUCGUGUUGUGAAAUGUUGGGUUAAGUCCCGUAACGAGCGCAACCCUUGUCCUUAUUUGCCAGCGAGUCAUGUCGGGAACUCUAAGGAGACUGCCGGUGACAAACCGGAGGAAGGUGGGGACGACGUCAAGUCAUCAUGGCCCUUACGGGUAGGGCUACACACGUGCUACAAUGGCCGGUACAAAGGGUUGCGAAGCCGCGAGGUGGAGCUAAUCCCGAAAAGCUGGUCUCAGUCCGGAUCGGAGUCUGCAACUCGACUCCGUGAAGUCGGAAUCGCUAGUAAUCGUGAAUCAGAAUGUCACGGUGAAUACGUUCCCGGGCCUUGUACUCACCGCCCGU
rnacentral:rRNA from 1 species